CGGAGGAUCCAAGCGUUAUCCGGAAUCAUUGGGUUUAAAGGGUCCGUAGGCGGUUUGUAAGUCAGUGGUGAAAGCCCAUCGCUCAACGGUGGAACGGCCAUUGAUACUGCAAGACUUGAAUUAUUAGGAAGUAACUAGAAUAUGUAGUGUAGCGGUGAAAUGCUUAGAGAUUACAUGGAAUACCAAUUGCGAAGGCAGGUUACUACUAAUGGAUUGACGCUGAUGGACGAAAGCGUGGGGAGCGAACAGGAUUGGAUACCCUGGUAGUCCACGCCGUAAACGAUGGAUACUAGCUGUUCGGAGCAAUCUGAGUGGCUAAGCGAAAGUGAUAAGUAUCCCACCUGGGGAGUACGUUCGCAAGAAUG
rnacentral:rRNA from 1 species